rnacentral:rRNA from 1 species
GUAUGAACGGCAAAACCUCUUCCAACUGUCUCCCCUCCCAUCCUUUUAAAUUUCCUCCUGUGUGAAGAAGCACAGAUAUAUCAGAAAGACGAGAAGACCCUGUCGAGCUUUAACCACUAAGUGGACCUUACCCUUUUCAGGCACCACCUAAAGGUUUUGGUUGGGGCAACCAUGGAGAAAAAAGAUCCUCCAGAACAAAUAGAAGAAAGCUUUUCACUAUUUUACGACUGAGAACCAGGAACUGGUAUUCGGAAAAAGUUACCGCAGGGAUAACAGCGUCAUCUCCUCUAAGAGUCCUUAUUGACGAGGAGGUUUGCGACCUCGAUGUUGGAUUGGGGCCCCCUUAGGGUGCAGAAGCUCUAAACGGUUAGACUGUUCGUCUAUUAAAGCCCUACAUGAUCUGA